ACGGUUAGCUUUGUUCUCUUGAA
rnacentral:siRNA from 1 species